ensembl:lncRNA
GCAUCUGGUCUCAGCAGACGCAGCGAGAACUUUCCCAGUAGAGCACUUACGUUUUCUCUUUCAUCCAGUGAGCAUUUGGUCUCUCAGCGGACGCAGUGUGAGAAAAUCUCCCGGUCAAGCUCUUAUUUUCCUCUUUCCUGUUUUCUCUUUCAUCCAGUGAGCAUUUGGUCUCUCAGUGGACGUAGUGUGAGAAAAUCUCCCGGUCAAGCUCUCAUUUUCCUCUUUCCUGUUUUCUAUUUUUUUCCAGUGAGCCUUUGGUCUCACAGCGGAGAAAGGAACAAACCAUCUGAUAGGUCGCUCCAAAUUACAACUAUUCCCCGUUGCAGGCCAGUGAGCAUUUGGUCUCUCAGUGGACGUAGUGUGAGAAAAUCUCCUGGUCAAGCUCUCAUUUUCCUCUUUCCUGUUUUCUAUUUUUUUCCAGUGAGCCUUUGGUCUCACAGCGGAGAAAGGAACAAACCAUCUGAUAGGUCGCUCCAAAUUACAACUAUUCCCCGUUGCAGGCCAGCAGGGCCCGUCAGUCCAGGUACAAUGAGCCGCUAUCACGGGCCCCCUGGCCAAACAUUCAGACCCUUUCUCGAGAUGCCAGCCCGCCAAACUCGGCACUCAUUUGGGGGGGGGUCUUUAGUUCGGCGACUAUCCUCUGCUCUUCAGCUUUUUUGGGGGAGCCCUGCCUCCAGACAGCACGCCAAAUAUGCAUUAUAUAAACUUCAGUUAAUUAUAUGUAAGUGUGAACUUGUGAAAUUAUGUUUUAUUAACAAGGUUCAGGAGGAGCACGUCAGAUACUUAGCCUAAUUAGCACAGGUGGAGCACACUUAAGAUAAUCAACACUAGGGUAUAAAUACAGCUGACUUACCCCUAUGCAUUGACAGUUUAUCAGCAUCCCCCCUCCACCCCAUCUCCUCCACUUAGAGUUCAUUUUACACCUCUAUAUAGGGGGGAGUACUCUGGGUUCGGGCCGAACUCCGAGCUCGGAGCCCUCCCUCCGGACAGCACGCCAAAUAUGCAUUAUAUAAACUUCAGUUAAUUAUAUGUAAGUGUGAACUCGUGAAAUAAGCAUAAAUAUCAGAACUGUAAAACAGAACUAUUCUCUGGCUUUACUCCCACAAAAGCUUGAUAGACUCCAUUUAACCAUCGGAACCCGACGAGUGAAACUUCUAAGAAACCAGAUCGCAUGAAAUACAAGUUAAAGAAAUAUUAGUAGUGUAUGGAACCAGGACAAAGAUAGAAAAAUAAAUCCUGAUACAUUACCUUUGCGGAAGGAUAAGAAUGCAUUACAUUUAACAAUGAUGCCUUACUAGCCAAUUAAACUUCAAUAGCUAUUGAAUCCUGUAAUAGCAUAAUGAAAGUCCUUACACAAAGAUUUUUCCAGAACUUUAAAGCAGAUGUUAUAAAUGAGCAUACUGUACACUGUCCAGGACAUUAAAGUCACGGGGCACAAACUAAAUUAACAGAAUAGUAAUUAUAACCACCAAGUCCAAACAUUAAUGAAGGUUAGGAGGAAAUCUGGAGAGGAAGUCGUCUAUAAAUAGGAAGAACAUAGAAACAUCAGACUAUAGAGAGGCCUUGACGAGUGCAAGUUCCAAGAUAAAAUAUUUUAAUGCUCACCAAACUGAAAAAAGAGAGUGCCAACUAGUUAUUUAAUAGAGCAAACUAAUGCCACAUAGCUAAGCUAGAGCUAAUUGCCUUAAUACAUGUCCUGAGAAUAGUAAAAGAAUAACAGAUUAGACGAAAGUAUGAUGAAAUGAUUAGUUAGUCAAUAUAUCGUGUAUUGGGAAAACUUCAGUGUUUGAGCAUAGCAAGAAAAUGUGUCUGUUUACGUUCAUGUUCUUAUUCAGACGAUGCUCAUGCAGAAAUAGACAGCAAGGACCUCUUUGCAGAAAUGGUCUACGCAACAAGAGAGACUUAAGUUGUAAUUCUUACCCCAUUCCAGUACAAGGCAUUCAGGAAUUGUUGUAGAUAGUCGCAAAUAAAACGAUGACUGAAUAAACAAAGACAAAUGCAUAUGAUUAAGGGUGCUUUCACACUUGGUUCGCUUGCCUGGUCCGCACCCGAGUUCGAUUGCUCCCCCCUCCCCCUGCCCCUGCUGGACCGCAUUCAUAUUAUUUUAUUUGGGUCCGAACCGCGGUUCGUUUGCGUCAUCAAGCCAGCAGCUGUUUACCCCGUUGCUUAGUAACUACGGUGCAGGAGAAGGCGGCAAAUGCAUAUCAUUGCUCUCUGCACUUAUAUAUUUACGUUUAUAUAUUUACGUUUUUGAACCGUUCAUUUUGUUUACAAAGCUUCGGUACAUAAUCAGAAUCAGAAAGAGCUUUAUUGCCAAGUAUGCUUGCGAAUACAAGGUAUUUGUUUUAGUGACAUAAGUUUCCAGUACACAAUAACACACAGUCAAAAAAAUAAAAAAAUAAAUAAAAUAAAAUAAAUAAACUUUGCAAAUAAAUAAGUGUGCAAACAAUUGUGCUAUAAAUGAUAAUGGAAUAUAAUGGCACUUACGUCUUUCUUACGAAUGCACUGCAAAUGAUCUGAAGAACACUGAAGGUGAAUGGAAAUGAGAUAUACAGCUCUCUGCUUGCAGCGCAUCAGUCACGCUCGUCAGGAAAGUGAGUGAAACACAUACCAAACACACAUUUUUAUCAAAUAAUAAGUCAUUAAUAGCGGUUCACUUACGCAAUUUGGAACGAUUGCGUUCACAUCAGUAUAAAGACUGUAAGCCUUUACUAACGAGCCUCAAAAUGCCUCAUUACAAAAGAGUUGUUCCAGACAUUAAAUGUAUUAGUUUGAUUAACAUCUUAUCUUAAUUAUUCAGUGCUAGUCCGCUAGGAACAAACAAUCAC